rnacentral:ribozyme from 1 species
CCCACUCCUGGCCUGCACCUUGUCGUGGUAAGUGGGCUUUUAACCAAGACAGGC